CACAAAGGUUUGGUCCUGACCUUAGAAUCAAUUUUUACUUAAUUUACACAUGCAAGUCUCCGCACCCCUGUGAAAACGCCCUUAAAUUCCCCCUAGCGGGACAAGGAGCUGGUAUCAGGCACAAACAUUAGCCCAAGACACCUAGCUUUGCCACACCCACACGGGAACUCAGCAGUGAUUAACAUUGAAUAUAAGCGACAGCUUGACUCAGUUAAAGUAAGAAGAGCCGGCUAAUCUGGUGCCAGCCGCCGCGGUUACACCACGUGGCUCAAAUUGAUUCUUCUCGGCGUAAAGCGUGAUUUAAGGAACAUCCUUUUGGUGUUAAACAAGCACUAAGCCGUGACACGCUUGUGCUUAAGAAAAUCAAAAACGAAAGUUACACCAACUCAACCAACUUGAACUCACGACAGCUAGGAAACAAACUGGGAUUAGAUACCCCACUAUGCCUAGCCGUAAACUUUAACUUACAACUUGAUCGCCUGGGAACUACGAGCCAAGCUUAAAACCCAAAGGACUUGACGGUACCCYAWAUCCACCUAGAGGAGCCUGUCCUAUAAUCGAUAACCCCCGUUCAACCUCACCACUUCUUGUCUUUCAGCCUGUAUACCUCCGUCGCCAGCUUACCGCAUGAGCGCUAUUAAGUGAGCUUAAUGACAAUACGCCAACACGUCAGGUCAAGGUGCAGCUAAUGAAGUGGGAAGAGAUGGGCUACACUUUCUACCGUAGAAAAAACGAAAAACUAUUUAUGAAAUCUAGUCGGAAGGAGGAUUUAGUAGUAAAAAGAAACCAGAGUGUUCUUUUUAAUCUGGCACUGGGGUGUGUACACAGCGCCCGUCACCCUCCUAUA
rnacentral:ncRNA from 1 species